rnacentral:lncRNA from 1 species
UGAUUACAAAGUGCAAAUCUGAAGAGGGUCUGAAGGAGUUUUUAUUCAUUUGCGUGUCAUGCACGAUUUCCGGGCGUUGUUGGUCAAUGAAGGGUCUAGCUUGUUGAUUGGCCUCGGGUUGGCGUUUCUGUUGUUGUGGAUUGCGAUCGUUUCGGCGGUCCUUCCUUUCCUGGGGUCGUCCUGUUUUUUUAUCAGCCUGGCAUCUUCCCGUUUGAUGGUUGGGUCUGUGGCUGGCGCUCUCUGCGCCGGCGCUGUGGAUGUUGCCGAGUUUUCGGUGUCUCUUCUAUGCUCUUUUGUCCUCUUAUUGAGUGAUCGUGCGGUGUGGCCGAUG